rnacentral:rRNA from 1 species
GGUGAUCUAGCCAUGGGCAGGUUGAAGGUUGGGUAACACUAACUGGAGGACCGAACCGACUAAUGUUGAAAAAUUAGCGGAUGACCUGUGGCUGGGGGUGAAAGGCCAAUCAAACCGGGAGAUAGCUGGUUCUCCCCGAAAGCUAUUUAGGUAGCGCCUCGUGAAUUCAUCUCCGGGGGUAGAGCACUGUUUCGGCUAGGGGGUCAUCCCGACUUACCAACCCGAUGCAAACUGCGAAUACCGGAGAAUGUUAUCACGGGAGACACACGGCGGGUGCUAACGUCCGUCGUGAAGAGGGAAACAACCCAGACCGCCAGCUAAGGUCCCAAAGUCAUGGUUAAGUGGGAAACGAUGUGGGAAGGCCCAGACAGCCAGGAUGUUGGCUUAGAAGCAGCCAUCAUUUAAAGAAAGCGUAAUAGCUCACUGGUCGAGUCGGCCUGCGCGGAAGAUGUAACGGGGCUAAACCAUGCACCGAAGCUGCGGCAGCGACACUCAGGUGUUGUUGGGUAGGGGAGCGUUCUGUAAGCCUGCGAAGGUGGCCUGUGAGGGUUGCUGGAGGUAUCAGAAGUGCGAAUGCUGACAUAAGUAACGAUAAAGCGGGUGAAAAGCCCGCUCGCCGGAAGACCAAGGGUUCCUGUCCAACGUUAAUCGGGGCAGGGUGAGUCGACCCCUAAGGCGAGGCCGAAAGGCGUAGUCGAUGGGAAACGGGUUAAUAUUCCCGUACUUGGUGUUACUGCGAAGGGGGGACGGAGAAGGCUAUGUUGGCCGGGCGACGGUUGUCCCGGUUUAAGCGUGUAGGUGUGUGUUCCAGGUAAAUCCGGUUCACUUUAACACUGAGGCGUGAUGACGAGGCACUACGGUGCUGAAGCAACAAAUGCCCUGCUUCCAGGAAAAGCCUCUAAGCAUCAGGUAACAUCAAAUCGUACCCCAAACCGACACAGGUGGUCAGGUAGAGAAUACCAAGGCGCUUGAGAGAACUCGGGUGAAGGAACUAGGCAAAAUGGUGCCGUAACUUCGGGAGAAGGCACGCUGACACGUAGGUGAAGUGAUUUACUCAUGGAGCUGAAGUCAGUCGAAGAUACCAGCUGGCUGCAACUGUUUAUUAAAAACACAGCACUGUGCAAACACGAAAGUGGACGUAUACGGUGUGACGCCUGCCCGGUGCCGGAAGGUUAAUUGAUGGGGUCAGCGCAAGCGAAGCUCCUGAUCGAAGCCCCGGUAAACGGCGGCCGUAACUAUAACGGUCCUAAGGUAGCGAAAUUCCUUGUCGGGUAAGUUCCGACCUGCACGAAUGGCGUAAUGAUGGCCAGGCUGUCUCCACCCGAGACUCAGUGAAAUUGAACUCGCUGUGAAGAUGCAGUGUACCCGCGGCAAGACGGAAAGACCCCGUGAACCUUUACUAUAGCUUGACACUGAACAUUGAGCCUUGAUGUGUAGGAUAGGUGGGAGGCUUUGAAGCGUGGACGCCAGUCUGCGUGGAGCCGACCUUGAAAUACCACCCUUUAAUGUUU